GAUUCACAUAUAAAAAGAAUGAGGAUUGAAACUUCUUAAGGGUAUGCAAACGUAGACCUUGGUCAUGGUUGCAAUUAAUAGGAAGUUAUAAAGAAGGAGAGGUUCACAUAUAAAUAUAUCAUCUCUGACACCAUCUAUGAUUGUGAACAGUCACUAAACAAUUGCAUGCCUAGAAGUAGAUGUUGGACAAGGAAUACAACAUAAUGAAUUGUGUUUGCUUGGCUCCGAACAAUAUUAUAUGAUUAGAGAUCACUUAGCAUGUGAAGAUUGCUUCCACCUCACAUUAGCCAAACCUCCCGCACUAACUAGAGAAACUACUUGUGCAUCCAAAAACCUUCAACCCAGUUUUGCCAUGUGAGUCCACCAUACCUACCUAUAGAUUGAAUAAGAUCCCUCAAGUAAGUUGUCAUUGGUGCAAGCAAUAAAAAUUGCUCUUUAAUAUGUAUGAUAUAUUAGUGUGUGAAAAAUAAGCUUUGUAUGAACCUAUGAUACAUAAAAGCGACAGACUGCAUAAUAAAGUUCCUUAUCACAGAAGGCAAUAUAAAGUGACGUUCCUCCGCACUAAGAGGAC
rnacentral:lncRNA from 1 species